GAGAGAUAUACUUGUAAGGACUCGGCAAGUUGUCUUCAUAAGUUAGACGAUAUGAAGAACCACUGAAUAAUAAUUUAUUAUUAUUUAUAUGAAAUUUUCAUGAGUGGUGUCACAAAAUCGGAGGCCCCGACUGUUUACUAAAAACACAGCUUUCUGCAACGAAUAAUAUCUUUGUAUAGAAAGCGAAUUUUGCCCAAUGCCAUUAAUAUAAGGUUGGUAAGCGCUAUGCGUAAUUACUAAUUGAAGUUCUGGUCAAUGGCGGUCUUAUCUAUGAGGAUCCUAAGGUAGCAAAAUUAAUUGUCCAUUAAAUGUGGUCCUGACUGAAUAAAGUAACGAUGGUCUCACUGUCUCUACAAGUAUCUCAGUGAAAUUGAAUUAGCCGUGCAGAUGCGGUUUAACUUCGGUUAGACGGGAAGACCCU
rnacentral:rRNA from 1 species